AGCUCCUCUUAUAGCUCAGUGGUAAGAGAAUCUGCCUUGCAUGCAGAAGGUCUCAGGUUCAGUCCUCAGGUAGGGCUG